rnacentral:rRNA from 1 species
GAUCAUGGCUCAGAUUGAACGCUGGCGGCAUGCCUUACACAUGCAAGUCGAACGGUAACAGGUCUUCGGAUGCUGACGAGUGGCGAACGGGUGAGUAAUACAUCGGAACGUGCCCGAUCGUGGGGAUAACGAGGCGAAAGCUUUGCUAAUACCGCAUACGAUCUACGGAUGAAAGCGGGGAUCUUCGGACCUCGCGCGGACGGAGCGGCCGAUGGCAGAUUAGGUAGUUGGUGGGAUAAAA